rnacentral:rRNA from 1 species
AGGUCUAUCCUGCCCAAUGAUAUUUUAAAUGGCCGCGGUAUUUUGACCGUGCAAAGGUAGCAUAAUCAUUUGCCCUUUAAUUGGGGGCUAGUAUGAAUGGUUGGACGAGGGAUUUCCUUUCUUUUAUAUAAAAUUAGAAUUUUUCUUUUUAGUUAAAAGACUAAAAUAGAAUUGUAGGACGAGAAGACCCUAUAGAACUUUACUUAUAUUAAUCAAAAUUCUUCAAUUUUUGAUUACUUGAAGAAUUUUGGUAAUAAGUUUUGUUGGGGUGACAUGAAAAUUUAUACAACUUUUCUUAUUUUGUUUCAUUUAUUUUUGAUUUUAUGAUCCACAAUUUUUGAUUAAAAGAUUAAGUUACCUUAGGGAUAACAGCGUUAUUUUUUUGGAGAGUUCAUAUCGAUAAAAAAGUUUGCGACCUCGAUGUUGGAUUAAAAUAAGUGGUGGGAGUAGAAGUUCACUUACUAGGUCUGUUC